UGAACAAACGGCAUGACCUUAAUCAGGGAGCCUGAACCACUCACUAAAGGGAAGUAUGUGUGUCUGUGGACACCUGACAUAGUUCCAGUUAAAGUAAAUCUUGGUGUGACAAAGGUGUGAUGGCAGAUUAAAUCCAUGGCAGGAAACAGUGAUAAUGCCCACUGUAGAGCCAUGUAAACCUUAUUCAGCCUUGCUUGAUAUUCAUUGCAGUCAAACAGCACUCAAGUGGAUAGGUCCCAGACACCAGCUGAUACACGCUGCCAAGUGGAAGGAGCUGAAUGCACAUCUAGCUUCACUUUGGAAAUCACCUUGCUUCAGAAACAUGCUACUUCUCUCAUUUGAUAUGAAGUCUUUGCCAAAAUCCAACAGUUUCAGAUGAGCCAAUUUUCUGAGACAGAAGAGCAAGAAAAAGUC